rnacentral:lncRNA from 1 species
UCCUAAGCCAACACCUUGUCCACCACCAUCAUCAACACCAAAACCACCACAUGUUCCAAAACCACCUCAUUACCCUAAACCACCAAUAGUUCAUCCACCUCAUGUUCCAAAACCACCAGUUGUGAAACCACCAAUAGUUCAUCCACCUUAUGUUCCAAAACCACCGGUGCAUCCACCUUAUGUGCCAAAACCACCAGUGCAUCCACCUUAUGUCCCAAAACCACCAGCUGUGAAGCCACCUUAUGUUCCUAAACCACCAGUUGUCCCAGUAACACCACCAUAUGUUCCUAAACCACCCGUUGUGAAACCACCAAUUGUUUAUCCACCCCAUGUUCCGGUUCCUCUUCCUCCGGUAGUACCAAUAACACCACCUUAUGUACCAACACCACCAAUUGUGAAACCACCAAUUGUUUUUCCACCACAUGUUCCUGUUCCUAUUCCUCCUUUUCCUCCCGUUGUACCAAUAACACCACCAUAUGUUCCAACACCACCGAUUAUCACACCGCCAACACCAACACCACCAGUAGUUACUCCACCAACGGUACCUGUACCAAGCCCACCUAGUGAAACACCAUGUCCUCCACCACCACCAGUGGUUUAUCCACCACCACCAGCUCAACAA